GGGUGACGCGCGAGGGGAGGAGGAAGCAAAUUAAUACAGGCGAGCAAGAGGGUCCAGCUAACGAACGAACCGACGCCAAGUCUAGUGCCGACCAGCGCCGCGACGCCUCGCAAUCCUCUCUCCCUGUCUCUUCUCUUCUGUUCUCGCUGUCGCUCCGUAUUCAGCAGGGGAGCUACGCUCAGCUCGUCUGGGACGUUUCGAAUCUUGAUCGGCGCUCAGUAAUAACGCAAAACCGAUUGGGUCAGUUUUCAGGAUGAGAUACGCGUCACGUAUAAGUGAGCAGUGUAAGCCCCGCGAGUCGAUGGGCCAAUCGCCUCACUCUCGUGAGGUCCAUCCGUGUCGUUGAGCGCGAUUCUUUCACGACGACAACGAAGUGUGAAGGUACCCUUACGACGAUACCGGGUUUGACAGUGAAAGAUAGGAUUUCUUUUUGUCUUUGUUUCGUACCGCGACCAAAGCGCACGUUACGUGACGUGUAAAGAGCAACGGUCUUCCCGGAAUUCGCUGAUGAUCUUAUCGUUGUUCAGCCCCACCACGAACGAUGCAUUUUUUCCUAUAUACGGCCAUUUCACGCCAUUUUACGCCUUUCAACAUUGCAAUUCAGUGUGUGUGUAAUUAAACGAACACAUUUCACAAACGUAACAAAAAUAUGUAGAUAACGAAGGUAAGAGGCAUCUCUUUCCUCUGGUAGACCCAUCGUCUGGUAGAUGGAAUGUUGAAUAUACGGAGGUACGCGAGCCAGCAAUGAUAAUUUCGAGAAACUUACAAUAUAAGAGAUGCAGGAGUAGAGGCAGGGUGUAAAUAAAUAUUCUCCGGCACGUAUAACGAGAUGUAAACGAAGACCGAAGUAAAGGAUACCGAGUAUCUGAUGAAUAAAUUCCAAGGCAAGUGUCACAAAUGUGCUAGAUAUUUAAGUAGUAUUAAUUAGACGUAUAUAUAUAUGUCACAAAUAAAGAAAUUUCACUUAAAUAUGCCGAUUCUAAUUGAAGAUGAUGCUAUUGCAUAUCGUUACAUUUUCUGUUCGGAUAUUCUCGAUUAUUUUUCCAUAAUGUUCCAAAAUACUAAUUUUGGUUUGCCUCACUGUGGCUUUUCUAAUGUUUAAAUAUAUUUCUCUAAACAAUAUAUUUAAUAUAA